CAAAUUUAUUUUAUAUUUAUUUCUAUGUAUAAAUGUAUAAAUUGACAUAUUUUCAAAGAUAAACUAUAUAUAUUUACUCAAACGUACCAAGCCUUUAAAUGAAAUACAUUCGAGCAUUUGUCGACAUUUUAGUAUUCAUCCGCAUAUCGCUCACAGUCACCACCAUUGAUUUUACUGAACAAAUCACCUGGCGGAACUAUUGUGAAAAUAAAGCAUGGAAUACCUUUAAGAUGGGGCACAAACGCAGCCAAAGGAACAAGGAUUCUUAUCAAGAAUUUGAAGAAAUGCAAUGAUAGGCCAGGGAGGACGUUUUUCCUGGAAAUUCUGGAUCUGUCAAGACAAUCAGCUUCUAAUUAAGAAGAACUCCCCGGAGAGCGCCGAGCUCAGCAAGGAAGCCCUGCUUUCCAGGACAUCGCGUUGAGCUGCCUGCUUUUUUUCCAGCUAAGAAAGGCAUUCCUGGCAGCAGAAAGCUCCUCAAAUCACGGCUCAGCCGGACAGGAGAAGGUGAGAACAGCUGUGGGAUCCAGUGACACAUUCUGCUGCUCCACCACUCUCCUCCAUGGAAGCUAUGCAUGAGCGCACAAGACAAGCUUCCUCGUAAAGACAAGCCACCGGACCAGGUGGUGAUAUUCACUCCCAUGAUGGAAUGAAAUGAAAGAAGAAAUAAAUAAAAAAAAAAA